rnacentral:rRNA from 1 species
CCAAAUACCAAGGCGAUCGGGUGAACUGUGGUUAAGGAACUCGGCAAAUUGCCCCCGUAACUUCGGGAGAAGGGGGACCUCUGUUGGUGAUGGGCUUUACGCCUGGAGCUGGUGGGGGUCGCAGUGGCCAGGGGGAAGCGACUGUUUACUAAAAACACAGGUCCGUGCGAAGUCGUAAGACGAUGUAUACGGACUGACGCCUGCCCGGUGCCGGAACGUUAAGGGGACCGCUUAGCCGACGUGAGUUGGCGAAGGUGAGAACUUAAGCGCCGGUAAACGGCGGUGGUAACUAUAACCAUCCUAAGGUAGCGAAAUUCCUUGUCGGGUAAGUUCCGACCUGCACGAAUGGCGUAACGACUUCCCCGCUGUCUCAACCGCAGACCCGGCGAAAUUGCACUACGAGUAAAGAUGCUCGUUUCGCGCAGCAGGACGGAAAGACCCCGGGACCUUCACUACAGCUUGACAUUGGCGUUUGGAACGUCUUGUGUAGGAUAGGUGGGAGACUGGGAAGCUGUCACGCUAGUGAUGGUGGAGUCAUUGGUGAAAUACCACUCUGGUCGUUUUGAACGUCUAACUCUGGUCCGUGAUCCGGAUCGGGGACAGUGUCUGGUGGUAGUUUAACUGGGGCGGUUGCCUCCUAAAGAGUAACGGAGGCGCCCAAAGGUUCCCUCAGCCUGGUUGGCAAUCAGGUGUUGAGUGUAAGUGCACAAGGGAGCUUGACUGUGAGACUGACAGGUCGAGCACGAGCGAAAGCUGGGACUAGUGAUCCGGCAUCGGCGUGUGGAAGCGGUGUCGCCCAACGGCUAAAAGGUACCCCGGGGAUAACAGGCUGAUCUUCCCCAAGAGUCCAUAUCGACGGGAUGGUUUGGCACCUCGAUGUCGGCUCGUCGCAUCCUGGGGCUGGAGUAGGUCCCAAGGGUUGGGCUGUUCGCCCAUUAAAGCGGUACGCGAGCUGGGUUUAGAACGUCGCGAGACAGUUCGGUCCCUAUCCGCUGCGCGCGCAGGAGACUUAAGGGGGCUGUCCCUAGUACGAGAGGACCGGGACGGACGAACCUCUGGUGUGCCAGUUGUACCGCCAGGUGCACGGCUGGUUGGCUACGUUCGGAAGGGAUAACCGCUGAAAGCAUCUAAGCGGGAAGCUCGCCUUGAGAUGAGGUCUCCCACCACGAGAGUGGGUAAGGCUCCCGGUAGACGACCGGGUUGAUAGGCCGGAGGUGGAAGCACGGUAACGUGUGGAGCUGACCGGUACUAAUAGGCCGAGGACUUGACCU